UACGUAGGCAGCGAGCGUUGUUCGGAGUUACUGGGCGUAAAGGGUGCGCAGGCGGCCUGGCGCGUCGCGAGUGAAAUCUCCUGGCUCGACUGGGAGGGUGGUCGCGAGACGGCUGGGCUUGAGGCUCGGUGAGGGGCGUGGAAUUCCGGGUGGAGCGGUGAAAUGCGUAGAGAUCCGGAGGAACACCGACGGCGUAGGCAGCGCCCUAGACGAGACCUGACGCUCAGGCACGAAAGCGCGGGGAGCGAACAGG
rnacentral:rRNA from 1 species